rnacentral:rRNA from 1 species
CCCAAGGAAUAAGCNCCGGCUAACUCCGUGCCAGCAGCCGCGGUAAUACGGAGGGUGCAAGCGUUACUNGGAAUCACUGGGCGUAAAGGACGCGUAGGCGGAUUAUCAAGUCUCUUGUGAAAUCUAACGGCUUAACCGUUAAACUGCUUGGGAAACUGAUAAUCUAGAGUAAGGGAGAGGCAGAUGGAAUUCUUGGUGUAGGGGUAAAAUCCGUAGAGAUCAAGAAGAAUACNCAUUGCGAAAGCGAUCUGCUGGAACUUAACUGACGCUAAUGCGUGAAAGCGUGGGGAGCAAACAGGAUUAGAUACCCUGGUAGUCCACGCCCUAAACGAUGUAUACUAGUUGUUGCUUCGCUAGUCGAGGCAGUAAUGCACCUAACGGAUUAAGUAUACCGCCUGGGGAGUACGGUCGCAAGAUUAGAACUCAAAGGAAUAGACGGGGACCCGCACAAGCGGUGGAGCAUGUGGUUUAAUUCGAAGAUACGCGAAGAACCUUACCCGGACUUGAUAUCUAACAAAUCAUCCAGAGAUGGAAGAGUGUCUGCUUGCAGAAAUGUUAAGACAGGUGCUGCACGGCUGUCGUCAGCUCGUGUCGUGAGAUGUUGGGUUAAGUCCCGCAACGAGCGCAACCCACGUCAUUAGUUGCUAACGGUUCGGCCGAGCACUCUAAUGAGACUGCCUUCGCAAGGAGGAGGAAGGUGUGGACGACGUCAAGUCAUCAUGGCCCUUAUGUCCGGGGCGACACACGUGCUACAAUGGCGUAUACAAUGAGACGCAAUAUCGCGAGAUGGAGCAAAUCUAUAAAAUACGUCCCAGUUCGGAUUGGAGUCUGCAACUCGACUCCAUGAAGCCGGAAUCGCUAGUAAUCGUAGAUCAGCCAUGCUACGGUGAAUACGUUCCCGGGUCUUGUACUCACCGCCCGUCACACCAUGGGAGUUGAUUUCACUCGAAGCCCAAAU